GGCCUGAUAGCACAGUGGCGGGUGCAGCUGCUUUAAAUGGUGGAUUUUGAAAUCACGAUUUAAGCAGAAAAUCUCCGUUCGAUUCGGGGUCAGGUCA